UAAUUAGGAUUCUUUUUCCUGUGUAGUUAAAAUGGCUAGUCGUCGGAUGCCUCUUAGUGUUCAUUGGGAUGGACAGUUAGUUAUGGAUCGAAAUGGUCCCCGAUAUUUCGGUGGUCGAAAGAAAUUGAUCGCGAUUCGUUCAGAUACGACCUAUACGAAUUUUGAGAGGAGAAUGUAUCGUUUAGUAAAUUGUAAUAGAGAAGAAUGUUGUCUUAAAUACAAAAUUCGAUGCCCUAUGGGAGCGAAUGAAUAUAUUGAUCAUGAUAUAGUAGAUGAUGAAUCAUUGGAGGGUUUAAUUGGAUUGUCUGAACAUUAUGGAUGUGUGUCGCUAUACAUCGAGAAAGAUUUAUAUUCGUCGGA
rnacentral:lncRNA from 1 species